rnacentral:rRNA from 1 species
GUGGAUUAGAUACCCUGGUAGUCCACGCCCUAAACUAUGUCAACUGGUUGUCGGGGAAGAAAUUCCUUGGUAACGAAGCUAACGCGUGAAGUUGACCGCCUGGGGAGUACGGCCGCAAGGUUAAAACUCAAAGGAAUUGACGGGGACCCGCACAAGCGGUGGAUUAUGUGGAUUAAUUCGAUGCAACGCGAAAAACCUUACCUACCCUUGACAUGCCAGGAACCUCGCAGAGAUGUGAGGGUGCCCGAAAGGGAACCUGGACACAGGUGCUGCAUGGUCGUCGCCAGCU